GUGGGGCUCAACGGAGCAGGCCUGUAGUCCCAGCUCCUAGAGAGGCUGAGACAAGAGGGUUGCAUGAUCCCAGGAGUUCUAGGCUGCAGUGUGCUAUUCCAAUUUGGUGUCCACACUAAGUUCAGCAUCAAUACGGUGACCUUCUGGGAGCAGAGGACCAGCGAAUUGCCUAUGGAGGGGUGAAUUGGUCCAGGGUAGAAAUAGAGCAAGUCAAAACUCUCGUGCUUGAAAUGGGAUUACUCCUACGAAUGGCCACUGCAUUCCAGCCUGGACAAUAUAGCAAGACCUCAUCUCUU
rnacentral:SRP_RNA from 2 species